UACAGACAGUGCAAGUGUUAUUCAUCUUUAUUGGGCGUAAAGGGUAUGUAGGCGGUUUUUGAAACUUUGUCUGAAAUGCUAGAGUUAGAACUUUAGAAGGGGACAUAAAGAUUAUUAAACUACAGAGUUAAAAAGAGGUUUUUGAAGAAUUUUUCAACUAUAUUCGAGGGGUAAAAUCCAGGCAUCUGAAACGGACUACCCAAGGCGAAGGCAUCAUUCCAUUUUUAACUGACGCUGAGGUACGGAAGCCUAGGUAAUCAACAGG
rnacentral:rRNA from 1 species